UGUGUGUAACAUACCUCCUCUGGGGGGCUUCUACAAGGCCGGGGGGGUCCACAGUGGUUCCUUCUCCCCCCUCCAGCAUUUCUUAUGCAAAAAAACACCCUGUUUGGGCAUUAUUCGACUCAUUCCAGGCCUUUCUCCUGUCACAGCGGCCAUUUUGGAGGCCGCUGCCCAUGCGCAAAGGGCCCCUGUGUGGCUUGGUCAUGAACGGAGGGGAACCAGUUGCUCUAUUCUGGGAGAGGUCGGAGCACAUGUUUUGCAUGCAGAAGUUCCCCAGUUCAAGCCCUCGUAUCUUCAAGUCAGAUGUUUUCCAACAACUUCUGUCCAUACAGCCAUUCUCUUGUAUGAUGUUGAUGGUAAUGGAGCAGAGACUGUACCGGGUUGCAAGAUUAUAAUUUUGACAUAGUACAUAUAAAAGGGAAAGAGAACGUCAUGGCUGAUGCACUCUCCAGAAGGUUUACCUAAAGUUCAGCUCGUAUAGCCUGCCUCUGGAAAGUGAAAUACCACUCAACCCAAUCCAGAAUCUGUUAAACAUGAGCCAUUGCUUAAGUUGCUCCUUUAGUUUGGAGAAUGCUGGUGCCAGGGACCCUUGGCCAAGUGUCUUUGCGAGGCCCCUUAGCAGCAGUAGUGGGGUGGCACAGCUGCACUAGCAGACACCACUUGUAUUACCUAUAAUGCAAUGUCUUCAACAUUGCAUCACCAGACAAAAUCGGAUGGCGGUAUUGUAUAAUGGGAAAGGAAAAUGGCAGCUGCCAACACAGUUUACAAAGAGACUCUAAGUCACCACUGCUAAAGUAACCCCGCACAAGGGUUUGAGGGAGCCAUAACAUCUUGGAGCACUUCUUGAGUGGCCACUAUCUCUUUUCACUAAGGCCUCAGGAGCUGGCCAUGGGCCCUUAGCCAGGGAUCAAGUUGGCUGAUCCUUGGUGCAUGUCCUGCAUUUGCAAUCCCAUAAGUAUUGAUUUGGUUUGUUAAUAAGUGGUUGUUGUUUGUAAUGAUUGUUCAUGGGUGUGAAUUUGUUGUUGUGCACUGCCCAUAACGUUUGGAUGGAGCACUGUAAAAAUGUAAUAAAUAAAUAAAUAAAUUUAUGCUGUUCCUAGCUGAUUUAUUUUAAUUAGUUAAGCUGUAGUGUCAGAUCUGCUAUAUAUCUUGUAAUAUUUCAUUGCUCUGUUCCCACAAGAUGUUUCUUUACCACAUGGAAACUUAUCCUCUUGCAAUAAA